rfam:Triticum aestivum genome assembly, contig: Triticum_aestivum_CS42_TGACv1_scaffold_577125_7BL
CAAAUACUCCCUCCGUCCGGAAAUACUUGUCAUCAAAAUGAAUAAAAGGGAUGUAUCUAGACAUAUUUUAGUCUAGAAAACAUAUAUUUUUAUCUUUUUGAUGACAAGUAUUCUCGGACGGAGGGAGUAGUGA